rnacentral:rRNA from 1 species
UACAGAGGUCCCAAGCGUUGUUCGGAUUCAUUGGGCGUAAAGGGUGCGUAGGCGGCGCGGUAAGUCGGGUGUGAAAUCUCGGAGCUUAACUCCGAAACUGCAUUCGAUACUGCCGUGCUUGAGGACUGGAGAGGAGACUGGAAUUUACGGUGUAGCGGUGAAAUGCGUAGAUAUCGUAAGGAACACCCGUGGCGAAGGCGGUUCUCUGGGACGGUACUGACGCUGAGACGCGAAAGCGUGGGGAGCGAACAGG